AGCUUCUUACCUGGAUCUCCUGACAUGUCGCUGCACUCUUCCUGUCAUCCUCCAGCUGUUGUUCGAUAAGCCCAACGCCGAGUCCGAAGGCCAGAAACACGGCCCUGUUUCUCGGGGACCCCCCUCCAAACCUCCUCCUGAACCCGGCGGACUGAAGCUGGGCAGCCAGGCCCCUCAGCGAGGUGCGGUAGUAGCGGUACCGAGACGGCAGGAAAGCCUGAGGCUGAACGGUGCGGACCGACGGGCCUACACGGAGACGGUCAACUCGGAGCUUUGCUGCGACUCGGCCCCCGGACUUUAACAGACCCACAUGGAGGACCGACCGGCCCAGCUCCAGCCCCCGGGAUAGAGCGUGUUUCACAGACAUAACUUACCCAGAGAGCUGAUCUCCUGAAGAAGGGGAGUCUCUCAUGACAUUAAGGAUCACACAAGCUUACCAACACAGAACUUCAGGAUGGGUUAAUGAUCCUGACAUUUAUCAUAUGAUUGAGUUUUCUGCUCACACCAUGGGACAUGGAGGUAUUCAUGAAGGAAACGCCUCUAAAGGGUCAUCACUAAUACCAAGUUUCUAAGUCUCUUGAUGUGGUAAAAACUUAAGCAAAGUCUGAAGUGUUGAAAGAUACAAUUAAAAAACAACAUUUUCUGUUUCAUGUUAUGGUUUAACUCAAAGUCCUCAAUGACAACUUUGAGGUACUAAUUCAAAUCUAAUUUAAACACAGAGAUGUUUUCCAGUCUUAAUUAAAAACCCACUUAUUCAGGAAGGCUUUUAGUGGAUUUUCGCAGAACUUUUAAUGCUUUUAUGGAUCAUGUAACCACUGUAAUUUUUAUGCUGCCUAUUGGUUUUAUCUUUCUUUUCUGUAUGUCUUGUCUUUGUAAAGCACUUUGUGACUUUUGUCUGUGAAAAGCGCUAUAUAAAUAAAGUUUACUUACUUA